rnacentral:rRNA from 1 species
UACGUAGGGGCGAGCGUUGUCCGGAUUUACUGGGCGUAAAGGGUGAGUAGGCGGUUAUAUAUGUCAGGUGUAAAAAGCUAUGGCUUAACCAUAGUAAGCACUUGAAACUGUAUGACUUGAGUGCAGGAGAGGUAAGCGGAAUUCCUAGUGUAGCGGUGAAAUGCGUAGAUAUAUGGAGGAACACCAGUGGCGAAGGCGACUUUCUGGUCUAUUAUUGACGCUGAGGCUCGAAAGCAUGGGUAGCAAACAGGAUUAGAUACCCCUGUA